rnacentral:rRNA from 1 species
UACGGAGGGUGCAAGCGUUAUCCGGAUUUACUGGGUUUAAAGGGUGCGCAGGCGGAUAUGUAAGUCAGUGGUGAAAUCUCUAGGCUUAACCUGGAAAUUGCCGUUGAUACUAUAUAUCUUGAAUGCUGUGGAGGUAAGCGGAAUAUGUCAUGUAGCGGUGAAAUGCUUAGAUAUGACAUAGAACACCUAUUGCGAAGGCAGCUUACUACGCAGAUAUUGACGCUCAUGCACGAAAGUGUGGGGAUCAAACAGG